AUGGCUGAUUCUCUUUCCGAAGAUCGCCGGCUGAUUUGUGGGUUUUCUCAGGGUGCGGGUUCGGUGACCGUCCUCCAGGCUCCGCUCGCAUUGUCCGUAGUGUCCGGCGACGGGAUGGAGGUGCAGUGUACCGCCGAAGGAGGAUAUAGCACUCACUACAUGUACUGGUACAGACAAUACCCGGGGAAGGGACCUCAGAUCCUCAUUUACUCGAUAGGCAACAAUCUCGUGGAUCCGAAGGAAACGCCGGACGGUUCAACUGGCAAAAGAAAGGACAACCAGUUCAAGCUGACCGCCAGCCACCUGACUGCAGAUCACUCGGCUCGCUAUUUCUGCGCCUGGAGUCUACACAGCCACGCGAACAGAUGGGGGAGCUCAACAAAAACCCUUAACACUGACGAAGGGCUUGACUGUUAA